GGCCUGAUAGCUCAGUUGGUAGAGCAAAGGACUGAAAAUCCUUGUGUCGCUGGUUCAAUUCCUGCUCAGGCCA
rnacentral:tRNA from 6 species